AGAAUCAAAACUGAGCGAGAGAGAAAAUUGGAAAGAGACUGGGAAAAGUGUUUUCUGGGCAAAGAAACUAAGCAAGAAAAGGCGGCGGAGGAGAAAGGGCUGGGACCAAUAGUAAGGAACAGAGGAGAAGCUGGAAACAGCCGUCACUUGCAGAAAUCAUCCAUCACCACUGCCAUCAGAACUUCUAGAAGCAUCCCCAAAGCUGUUGCUUUUUGCUGUUUACUUGUAUUUUAGGUAUGGCCAUGUCUGAUGGUUCUCUCUUUUCUUACCAUUUUGUUUCUAAAAUCUGUUUUUUCACCCAAGAGCCAACUCCGCCUGUUAUUUGUUGCGUUUCAUCCAACGCUCUCUGUUUCAUGUCUGGGUUUUGUUGUUUGAGGAAGGUUGAGUUAUAUUUCUGUUUUGGCUGAGAAAUUCGUGGGUUUGGACUGGGUUUGGGGAUAGAAGUUUGGGGUUUGCUUGUUGUUUGAUUGGCAGGCCAUAUAUGCAUUUACCGCAAGCUUUCUUCUUUCUGUCUAGGUUGUGUUUUUCUUAUCCAGUAGCAUUAUGGGAUAUGUUGGGAAUAGGUAGUUGCAUUUGGGUGUUGUUAACAACGCUAAGAUGAAGUUUUUAGUGGGUUUUGGUUGAUGAGCUUGCUAGCUUUGGUUUUUAAUUUGUGAAGGAUGUCUGAGUUGAAUAAAUUGCCAAGUGGCAGUAAGAAUAUUGCAAAAAGAAAACCAGCGAAUACGAUGGAGUCCUCGACUAGGCUGCC
rnacentral:lncRNA from 1 species